GAGGAACUGAGCACUUGAUACUUUUGCCUGCCAGAGGUGGAUCUGCUGAUUCCCAUGUAGGACUCAGAACUCGUUUUGUUGUUUACAAGCCCUCCUUUCACUGUGGCACUUUUUAUUCAGAUGGAUUUUUUGACAGAAAGAUUGAAAGUAGGGCUUCUGGCAGAGGGUCCCAAUCUCCUUUUCAUCCCUCUAAAGCAGGCUUGGGCUUUCUGCCCAAUGUGAGCAACUUCCCUGGCCUAUUCCACCUACUCCAAGAGUCAUCUCCCACAUUUCAAGGGAAAUACUUUACUGACAACAUGCAGAGGAAAGCCUUAUUUAAUAUAUAGUCACUCUCAAGAAAGCAGACUAUUGGUAUUAAGCCGCAAAAAAGUAAGAAAAGAAUGAUGUCACAGCAGCAAUAACAAAAGCCCAUCAGUCUCUUAAACACAUCUUUUUAGAAGGAAAUGCAAGGCUUUAAAAAAUAAUAAUGAUGUUCAUUUAUAUGCUUUUAAAGAAUCAACUGUAGGCAACUGGAAGAUGGCUCACCACCAGGUAGAGGACACGCAUGAAGAUGGGGUUCAAGUCUCCAGCCACCACGUGGGAACACAAAGCAAAAUGAAAGCUUCACAAAUGCUGAAAUAGUGCCGCCCUGCCUGUCAUGUUCAUUGUUCUCCUCCUCCUCCUCCUUUCAUCCUCUUAUUCCUCUCUCUCCCCUUUCCCUCUCCUUACCAUUUAAUCUCUAUCUAAUAAUAAUAAGUACACUGAGAGUGGUGGAAUUAUCAUGACUGAAUUCAUCUUGGUUCAGCACUAGGUGAGCAGCCCAGACAGUGAUGAAAGCAGGGAACGAACUCCAAAGCAUCUGUUUCCCGCUGGUAUUACAUGAGCCAAAGGGAUGCUCCAUCCUUCUCUCUCAGUAAAACACGCAAACAAAUGAAAAA